CGGCAUGCCUAACACAUGCAAGUCGAACGUGAAAGAGGGGCAACCCUUUAGUAAAGUGGCGGACGGGUGAGUAACGCGUGGGAAUGUGCCCUUAGGUACGGAACAACACAGGGAAACUUGUGCUAAUACCGUAUGUGCCCUUCGGGGGAAAGAUUUAUCGCCUUUGGAGCAGCCCGCGUUGGAUUAGGUAGUUGGUGAGGUAAAGGAUCACCAAGCCGACGAUCCAUAGCUGGUCUGAGAGGAUGACCAACCACACUGGGACUGAGACACGGCCCAGACUCCUACGGGAGGCAGCAGUAGGGAAUCUUGCGCAAUGGGCGAAAGCCUGACGCAGCCAUGCCGCGUGUAUGAUGAAGGUCUUAGGAUUGUAAAAUACUUUCACCGGGGAAGAUAAUGACGGUACCCGGAGAGGAAGCCCCGGCUAACUUCGUGCCAGCCGCCGCCGUAACAC
rnacentral:rRNA from 1 species